UACGUAGGUGGCAAGCGUUGUCCGGAUUUACUGGGCGUAAAGAGCGCGCAGGCGGUCGUUCAAGUCGCGUGUGAAAGCCCCCGGCUCAACUGGGGAGGGUCACGCGAUACUGAUCGACUCGAAGGCAGGAGAGGGUAGUGGAAUUCCCGGUGUAGUGGUGAAAUGCGCAGAUAUCGGGAAGAACACCCGUGGCGAAGGCGGUUCUCUGGGACGGUACUGACGCUGAGACGCGAAAGCGUGGGGAGCGAACAGG
rnacentral:rRNA from 1 species